CCUACGGGAGGCAGCAGUGGGGAAUAUUGGGCAAUGGGCGCAAGCCUUACCCAGCAACGCCGCGUGAAUGAAGAAGGCUUUCGGGUUGUAAACUUCUUUACUCAGGGACGAAGCAAGUGACGGUACCCUAUGAAUAAGCAUCGGCUAACUCCGUGCCAGCAGCCGCGGUAAUACGUAGGAUGCAAGCGUUGUUCGGAUUUAUUGGGGGUAAAGGGUGUGUAGGGGGUUUUGCAAGUUAGGGGUGAAAUACCUGGGGCUUAACCAAGGAGCUGCUUCUAAAACUGCGGGGCUUGAGUAUUUUUGAGGAAAGCGGAAUGCGUGGUGUAGCGGUGGAAUGCUUAGAUAUUAGGCAGAACAUCGGUGGCGAAGGCGGCCUGCUAAGCCAUGACUGACGCUGAUGCACGAAAGCGUGGGGAUCAAACAGGAUUAGAUACCCGUGUAGUC
rnacentral:rRNA from 1 species